GACGAACGCUGGCGGCGUGCCUAAUACAUGCAAGUCGAACGCAGUGGGGAUGGGUGAGUAACACGUGGGUAACCUCCCAUCAGAGGGGAUAACACUUGGAAACAGGUGCUAAACUGAUACUGAUGGAGGUACCCGCGGGGCAUUAGCUAGUUGGUGAGGUAACGGCUCACCAAGGCCACGAUGCAUAGCCGACCUGAGAGGAUGAGCGGCCACACUGGGACUGAGACACGGCCCAGACUCCUACGGGAGGCAGCAGUAGGGAAUAUUGGGCAAUGGACGAAAGUCUGACCGAGCAAUGCCGCGUGAGUGAAGAAGGUUUUCGGAUCGUAAAACUCUGUUGUUAGAGAAGCGGUAUCUAACCAGAAAGCCACGGCUAACUACGUGCCAGCCGCCGCGGUAAUUC
rnacentral:rRNA from 1 species